CGGGCGGUUUGUGCACGUUCCAUUUCUAUAUUCAUUUUUUUCUUCUUUGUAAAAAUUACUACCAAAUCCUCCUUUUUAGGUGUAUAUCAACACUUUUCUGCUUUUGUGGAAACCUUUGUAGUUCAUAUCUGCCAGCCUAUAAGCUGCACCUUGACCUGAAGUCAUGUGUUCUUCACUGUUUGGCUAACACUCUCGAGAGGUUAACUGACGACGGAGGUAUACAGGCUGAUUUGCUAAGGCUGGUAAGGUUCCUCGCGGAUUAUCGUUUAUAGUACAAACUCCUCUGGUUAGGGGUGGAAUGCCGCCAAGUUCUUUGGGUUUUAGUUACAUUGUUGUAUAAACCGUAGUCCCCGAUGUUGCAUGAAAUUAUAGUGGGGU
rnacentral:rRNA from 1 species